rnacentral:lncRNA from 1 species
AAUGGGGAGAAAUGGCCCUAAAUUGGGAGAAAUGGCCCCAAAAUGGGCUUAAAUGGGCCCAAAAUGGCCCCAAAUGGGUUUAUAUGGCCCUAAAAUGGGCUUAAAUGGGGGGAAUUGACCCCAAAAUGGCCUUAAAUGGGGGAAAUGGCCCCAAAAUGGGCUUAAAUGGGGGAAAUGGACCCAAAAUGGCCUUAAAUGGGGCCAAAAUGGGACUAAAUGGGUUUAUAUGGCCCCAAAAUGGGCCUAAAUGGGAGGAAUUGACCCCAAAAUGGGCUUAAAUGGGGGGAAUUGACCCCAAAAUGGCCCUAAAUGGGGGGAAUUGACCCCAAAAUGGCCCUAAAAGGGGUUAUAUGGCCCUAAAUGGGUUAAUAUGGCCCCAAAAUGGCCUUAAAUGGGCCCAAAAUGGGCCUAAAUUGGGGGAAAUGGCCCCAAAAUGGCCCUAAAUGGGGGGAAUUGAAACCAAAAUGGCACUAAU